CCUAUGGGAGGCAGCAGUGAGGAAUCUUGGUCAAUGGGCGCGAGCCUGAACCAGCAAAGUAGCGUGAAGGAUGAAUGCCCUACGGGUUGUAAACUUCUUUUAUAAAGGAAUAAAGUGAGGCACGUGUGCCUUUUUGUAUGUACUUUAUGUAUAAGGAUAGGCUAACUCCGUGCCAGCAGCCGCGGUAAUACGGAGGGUCCGAGCGUUAUCCGGAUUUAUUGGGUUUAAAGGGAGCGUAGAUGGGUUGUUAAGUCAGUUGUGAAAGUUUGCGGCUCAACCGUAAAAGUGCAAUUGAUACUGGCAGCCUUGAGUACAGUAGAGGUAGGCGGAAUUCGAUGUGUAGCGGUGAAAUGCGUAGAUAUCACGAAGAACUCCGAUUGCGAAGGCAGCUUACUAAACUGCCACUGACAUUGAUGUUCGAAAGUGUGGGUAGCAAACAGGAUUAGAUACCCCUGUAGUC
rnacentral:rRNA from 1 species